CUCCUGCAAGAAUUACAGUAUGUCACUAAAGUGAGUACACCCUUCACAUUCCAGCAAAUAUUUUAGUAUAUCUUCUCAAGGGACAAUACUAUAGAAAUUAAAUUUCGAUUUCAUUUUCCAUAAUCUUUUUGACAUGAUUCGUGAUGAUGCACCUAUGUUUAUAUGACCCCGUCUUAAUGCAAUUGAUAGGGUGGGGUCAUGGUGGACUCAGAAUUCAUUUUCAAUAGAAUUUUGCUACAUCCAUUGCACGCUUAUGAAAAUGCAAUCCCAAGUGUCCAACCGGUAAACGUAAUUGUAUAGAAAAAAAAUUAAGCGAUCAUUUUGCUACAGCUUUUGCUUAUGUGUAACACAUAUAAUCAGUUCAGGUACAUUUCCAUUUUAGUUUUGCAAUUUCUAAAGCAUUAAAAACUGUAUUUAAAAAGGCUGUACCAGGAAAUGGCAAAUGUCAAUUAAAUUAUAAAAUUUUCAUUUUGCGCAAAACAAAAGACGUCACAUUAAGAUGUCACAUUUCCUACUUUUGCAUAUCGUAAAACUGAAACUGCCUCUGAGGUAAAGAGUCCUCUGCAUGACUAUGGUUUCAGUUAUUUCACAGUGGGCUUAGGUGUGCUAUCUGUGUGAUGGGGGUUUUACAGCAUUCAUAUGUACAACUUCUAAAUAUACUUUUAUUAGCUGUAUUGGAACUUAAAGCUGAGACACAGACACCCUGCAAAAACUUUAAUGCCGGCAGCAUCAAUUCUGCACAGGGUGACAAUGUAUCUAUUUAUUGCCAUACCACAACCCAACACUCAAACUUUAGUGUUAAACUACGCAGAACCAACCCAGAUGAAGUCGUCCUACAGUAUCCAAAUGCAGCAUCACAGCUUCACAGAUGGUCUGUAAGAACUGAUGCUGGACAUGUUAUACUUGAUCUUCAAAAUAUCACUUUACGUGAUUCUGGCCAAUACGAAUGUGAGGUGCACAGUGGUUUAGAGUGUACCACAACUAAACUGUCACUGAGGGUCAAAGAGUGUAAAGUCCUGGACCCAAUUUGGACAACUGAAAAGUCUACAGUUACGCUACCCUGCCCUGAACAUCUAAACGUUGAGUGGGGAGUCAUUCAUGGUGAUCAAUCAACAGAUGUAAACGAAUAUUCAUGCGAGCACUCAGACAGUAGAAACGGUGUACCGAAGCCUCUGUGUGAGAGACAAAUAAUAAAGAACGGAUCUCUCAUCAUACGUGAUGUGGUAAACACUGAUGCACAGUGGUAUCGGUGCAGAGUGAAUAAAAUGAGCUGCUAUGACGUAAGGCUGCACGUUAAAGGUUUGUGUUUUAAUGAAAUAUUUCAAAACCAAAAACUCAGAUUGGAUUUAACCUAUAGUUAUUAGAUUAAUGCAUUCAAAGACAAGCAGUGCUGUACUUAAAAAUAAAAGUUCAACUUUAGUAACCUGAUAAACCACUGUUAAUACUGCAUUGGAAAUGAUUUACUUACAGAUGAAGUAGUGUAAUAGAAAAACAAUAGACCCAUUGGUAAUGAUAUCCGCACUACUUGAUCUGAGUAAUUGACUGAUUUAGUGUAAGUAGAGUGAUCAAAAUAAUAGCAGUGUGAAGAAUUAGAAAAUAAGUUAAUUCUGUGGAAAAUCAGGUCUUUUUGACCUUUAUAAAGAAAGAGGGAAAGCAAAUGUUUUUCUCAUUGUUAUAAAAAAUAUAUCUGAUGCUGAAUUUUUAAGUACUGUAAAAUGGGCCAUUCCAAACAUUGCUCUGAGAAACAACGUAAUUUGAUUAAAACGUUGAUCUGGGGGGCAAAAAUAGAGAGAAAUGCAUAACAUUCUGUGGCUUGAUAAGAGUAACAUUGUUCUUUUUGGGACUAGUGGUUAUCAAAAGUAUUUAAAGGAACCUCCAGGUACUGAAUUCAAGGCAACCACAGUUCACUAUGAAGACCACCAUGGUGGUGCAAAAAUCAUGGUAUUAUUGUAUGUUUUUCAUACUACGUGUUGGGCCUAUUUAUCAUAUACAGAGGAACAUGAAUCAGUUUGAAUAAUUCAGAAUACUUGAAGAGAUUAUGUUGCCCUUUAAUGGGUGUUUUAACAAGACAAAACCCACAAUCACACAAGCGCCAAGUGCCAAAAUCUUGGUUCCUGACAAAAAGGAUUGAGGUUAUUGAGUGGCCAAUUCAAUCUUCUAAUAUCUACCCCAUUGAACCCUUGUGGGGUGACAUUACAAAAGCAAUUUCUGAACCAAAACCUAAAAAUUGACAGGAACUGUGGAUCCUGGGAUGAAAUACCUGUUUCGUGCCAGAAGUUGGUUGAUUGAUUUGACACACAACAAUGGUUAUGCAGCUAAAUAUUUGUAAUUCAAUAGUUUAAAUUGAAGUUAAAUCUUAAGAAACUAUUAUUUUUUUACAGAUUAAUAUUAAUUUUCUUUGCUUCGCUAGCGGCUUUUAAUAGAAUAAGAGAGAUUUGAUAAAUUUUGUUAAUGCUUUGAUCUGAAACUGAAUGUGUAAUGUUUUUAAUACAUUUGGAAAAUAAGGAAAUAAACUUUUUGCACUUUAUUCACUUUUAUUUGUACAGUACUAUUUUUUGAACACAACUGUAUAAGCUAUUGUGAUGAGUUAGGCAAGGUUAUUGUUGCAUUUAUGUAAAAAGCAAGAUUAGAAAAAGUGAGAGGUUUACGCUAAUGUCUGAGUUAUAAUUAGGUUGUGUUGGAUGUACUGCUUGUCCAUGAAAUAGGGGCUGUUGAUCUUGUAUCUGCAUGUGUGAUUAUGUGUUUAAAUGUUAAAGGAACAGUAUGUAAGAAAUGUAUAUCAAUUAAUCAUAAAAUGGCCCUGAUAUGUCACUAGACAUUAAGAAAUAAUUUUCAUUUUAAAUACUUAUAUCACUGACAACAUUGGUCUGGCCAGGAUAUUGUCAUUUAAAAAGUGGAGUUGCAGCCCUCAACUGAUGUUUAUGUUGUCAUGUUGUGUAUUGGC